UACAGAGGGUGCGAGCGUUGUCCGGAAUCACUGGGCGUAAAGGGCGCGUAGGUGGCCUGAUAAGUAGGGGGUGAAAUCUCGAGGCUCAACUUCGAGGCUGCCUCCUAAACUGUCAGGCUUGAGCAGAGUAGAGGCAGGUGGAAUUCCCGGUGUAGCGGUGGAAUGCGUAGAGAUCGGGAAGAACAUCGGUGGCGAAGGCGACACCCUGGACCAGCACUGACACUGAGGCACGAAAGCGUGGGGAGCAAACAGG
rnacentral:rRNA from 1 species